rnacentral:lncRNA from 1 species
GGGGGGUUAAAUGUUCAAAUACGCAAACUAAUUUUACACUUUUUAUGUAAAUUUUACAAGUUUUAACGACUAAAUGUAACCUAAUUAAAGUUUGCCAAACAAUCAAAUAGCUGUUUAUCUGUACCAUAUUACUUCAAACAACAAAAAGCACAUCCAUAUCUAUCCUAAAGUUGUAUUCGUAGUUGUCAAUAGCGGCUAUAGCGAUUGCUACAUAGAGAAGCGAUGUAGUGUCUCUAGCGACUGAUAGCGAGAAAAGCGACAAUUAAUUUUUUUUAUAUAAAUAGCAAUUAGAUAUAGCUAUAAAAUAGCUGGAUUAUAGGUUUUAGUUAAAUAUACAUGUAAAAUAGCAUAUAUACCAAGGUAUAUUGAUAUAAUAUACAUAUAAAAAUUUUCAAAAUUCUUUUCCUAGCGUAUCGCUAUUUAUAAAACAGCGGUGGCUAUUUGUCGUUAUUCGCUAUUUAGCAUAUAGGUCCCUUGUCGCUGUUUGUCGAUAUUCGCAAUUAACAAAUAACAACUAUGGUUGUAUUAUUACAACUGAUGAUCUGAUUCGAUCAUUCGACUAACCAAAAAAAAAAAAAAAACACAUGACUACUUCCAAAUGCAUAUUCAAAACAUCCAAUUUACCAACACAUAUAGAUUUUCAUUCUUGCAAGUUGUAACACCUUCAUUCUAAAGCGAGUGAAAGGGUUUAAUGUGAAAGUUAAAUGUUCUAGAUGUUAACGGCAGGCCGGUUAACUAGUACUGAUCCUUUACUAAACCACAAAACACCUUGGGUUGACCUGAAUACCGUUAGUUCAAAUUUUUUAACCUUUUCAAGUUUUUAUAGAUAGAUGCCUAGUGUGUCAAAUGUGAUUAUAAAUGCACAAGGUGUUGACGUCCCAAAGCUGAAGCAUGAGGCGAGAGACAACAAAACUAUUCUCAUGUGACUUGUAAGACCAUGUGUACUGGUUUAGCCAAAUAAUGCCCCCACCAUGGGGCGUUUUGCGACACGUGGCAGUCCAGUCAGCAUGGGGCAUUAUUGGGGGUUAUUGCAAAAGUGCCGUAGUGGGAAUAAUGCCCAAUAACGCCCCUUCCAAUCAUUAAACAAUUAUGUUUUUAUAGAGAAAAGGAUAAAAAAAUAAAUAAGAAAAUGAAACUUAUACAGUUGGACCACUCCCAUCGGCCAUAUGCAAUUCUCAGUUGGAGCUAUUCAGCGUUAUUAUAAAAACGCCAGAAUCAAUUUUUUGAAUUU